rnacentral:rRNA from 1 species
AGCGAACGCUGUCGGCAGGCCUAACACAUGCAAGUCGAACGAACUCUUCGGAGUUAGUGGCGGACGGGUGAGUAACACGUGGGAACGUGCCUUUUGGUUCGGAAUAACUCAGGGAAACUUGUGCUAAUACCGAAUGUGCCCUUCGGGGGAAAGAUUUAUCGCCAUUAGAGCGGCCCGCGUCUGAUUAGCUAGUUGGUGAGGUAACGGCUCACCAAGGCGACGAUCAGUAGCUGGUCUGAGAGGAUGACCAGCCGCACUGGGACUGAGACACGGCCCAGACUCCUACGGGAGGCAGCAGUGGGGAAUCUUGCGCAAUGGGCGAAAGCCUGACGCAGCCAUGCCGCGUGAAUGAUGAAGGUCUUAGGAUUGUAAAAUUCUUUCACCGGGGACGAUAAUGACGGUACCCGGAGAAGAAGCCCCGGCUAACUUCGUG